CAAAAACCCACACAAAAACAGACCACUGAUUGAGGGUGGACACACCCUGGCGCUAAGAGCUCGUGUAGAGCUGUCAAACAAAAAAGCGCACGUGAAAAGUGCAGUCGGCGUGCAAGGAAAAGAAGCAUCGAAAUAAGGAGUGAGACGAAGAAGUGCCGGAGCAGGCCGUGCUGCCCGACGACAGAUUGUGCCGGAAAAAGCCUUCGUGAAGAAGGCCGUUUUACCGGAUACCAGCAGCCGGCCAAGGGCCAGACUGUGACAAAGGCAAAACAGCCUGCCUCCGUUUGCCGUGCGGUCAAUUUUCGUCUUUUAUUCGGCAGGAGGGAAAAUUUUUAUCAAGAUCCCUAAAGAUCCACCCGACAGUGCCGCUCUGCAGUGUGGGCUACCAGAGAGCCAAUAUAGCCGAACAUUUCGCGCGCCUAGGAGAAAUCCCGGCGGCGCGACGUAUCGUGCAUUUAGUUUCGGCCUCGAACGCUGUGCGGGCAUUAUCGAGCGGAAGAAGGGUGGCGGAACAUACGCGUGCCAAGGAUCAGUCCCGGCGGCGCGGUUUAUCACUGUUUCCGGCCACGAGAGCCGAAUUGCGGCUGUAGGCGAUUUCGUCAUUGUGUUGCUGUUAGUUUUUAAAGGGACGAGCCGAAGAAGUUGAGCUCGACCAACCCGUGCCCAGGAUCAUUCCCGGCGGCGCGACUGAUCGUGUUUUCCUCGGCCAAAAGAGCCGUGCCGACAUUGGCCGAACAAACGUGCGCCCAGGAUCAUUCCCGGCGGCGCGAUUCAUACGCGUUUCCUGUCACAAGUGCCGAAUUACCAUUGUUGGCUGUCACUGCUGUUGUGUUGCUGCAGAGUCAUUGAGAAAGGAGUCGAAGGAGUGUCGUUCCCAUUUUGCGCGCCUAGGAAACAAAUUCCCGGCUGCGCGACUACCUGCAAAAUCGUUGCUCGGCGGAACGAGCUGAAGGAGGAAGUGUUUGCGUGCCGGCUCGCAGUGCCGAAGGAAAUAGGAGUAACGGCUCGCAGUGCCGCAGGAAGAGUGGUGAUCCGAGGUGGCGAUAUCACAGGUGAGCUUUAGUCAAGGGGGACUGGUGGGUGGAUAAAAACCUAUUUUCCUCGCGCACAAUUGCGCAAUUUAUUAAAUAUGCCUAUUAUAUCUGUUAGUAACAACCCGAGGCAAUAACAGACAGGCAAUAAACUGCUAAACUUACUCGCGGGAAACUGCUCAAACGGAAUACUUUGGUGCACGAUUUGACUAACACUUUGUUUACAUUUGUCUGUUUCUGUUCUUGACAGUCUAUAAUUUUACAUGGCAUCCAGUGUAUUGUUAUAUUGAUUAAGUUCAAAUUCAAUGUCCUUAUAACACGAAAGACUAAAUUGUUCGGAGAUAUAAGAGAAAAAAAUCAACAACAAAAAACAGAUCUACAACACUGGCAACACUAGACGCACUAGACAGAUACGGCAGGAAAGGGCAGGGGAUGAAUCAGAAUAACGCCCGGCGUAAAAAGCAGUAAAAAAUCGCUUGGAGGUUCAGCUCCAAUGAAUAUUUAAAGAAGGUAGUGCCAAGGCAGCCCUGCUCUAGUAUUGGUACAGACUGAGACGUCACAAUCACGAAAAAUCUGUUAA